AAUGCUGGUUAUGGUCAAAUAAAUGUGUGCAGCAAAUGGUUUAAAGCCUUUUCGGACAAAAUGAUUUAAUUACAUUUUUGUAACUAUUCUGAAUGUACUAAAUCCAGCGUGCUGGGAAUUUAUGGCUCUGCUUUCUAAGGACACUUUACAAGCACUGUUGGACAAGGAAGCUUUCUCCACCACUUGCUUUUUUACCAGGCACUAGAAAAUAAACAAAAAGAGCAGACGUGUUUCCAUGCCCAGAAAUGUUAACAAGGCUGAGUUGCUGAAGACAGUUUAAUGUCAAAAUUCAUACACCAUGGCAAGACUGAGCACAGUAACAAGGCACAAGGUAGUUAGCAAGGUCCCUCAAAGGCAGAAAUUUCAAGACGGAUAGGGGUUUCCAGAUAUGCUGUCCACGCUCUUCUGAAGAAGCACAAAGAAACCGGCAACAAUGGGGACUGUAUACGCAGUGGUCCGCCAAGGAAAUAGUGCAGCAGUUGAAAGAGACAUUAUGCUUACUUUUCUUCACAAUCUGAAGAUUUCCAGAAUGAACCACUGGGAUACUGGUAUACCCAUCUACUGUCCGCAGUAGCCUGGUCAGAAGUAAUCUUCAUGGAAGACUUGCAGCCAAAAAGCCAUAGCCCCAAUGUGGAAACAAGGCCAAUCAACUUAAUUAUGCUAGAAAAAACAUGAACUAGGGUGCAGAAAGGUGGCAGCAGGUUCUCUGGACUGAUUAUUCAAAAUUUGAAAUAUUUGGCUGUAUAAGAAGGCAGUUUGUUCCCAGAAUGGCUGGAGAGGGGUACAACAAUGAGUGUCUGUAGGCAACAGUGAAGCAUGGUUCCUUGCAAGUUUGGGGCUGCAUUUCUGCAGAGUUGGGGAUUUGAUCAGAAUUAUUUGUCUCCUCAAUGCUGAGAAGUACUUUUGAAUCAUGCAAUACAAUCAUGAGGCAUCUGAUUGGUCCCACAUGUAUUCUACAGCAUGACAACAACCCCAAACAAUACAACCAAAGUCAUUAAGAACUAUGCUCAGCUUAAAGAAGAACAAGGGGUCCUGGAAGUGACAGUAUGGCCCCCACAGAGCCUUCAUCUCAUCAUAAUCAAGUCUGUCUGGAAUUACAUGCUGAGAGAGAAUUACUGGAGUCAUAGCAAUCAUGAGAUUUGUGUGAAACUGUGGUAGCCCAGCAAGAACAGAGAGAGGUCUUGAUAAAAGAUAAUAUGAAAAACUUGACUAGAUGAACACAACGAGAAGCCAUGUAGCAGUCCCUAUAAGAAAUCAGAGAGUUUUGGAUUGAGUCUAGAGCCCAAGCAACGGGAUCAAGACUGGAAAGAGUGCACUUGGGAAGCACUUCCGUCCCUGAUUGUAAUGAAUAAUAAACUCACAUUCAGGACCAGAAACUUUGUAUUCCAAUGAAUUCAAUUAAAACAUAACUUUUAUUUGAAAAAUAGUUGUAUAAAAUCAAUGUGUGUGUGUGCACUUUAAAAACACAUAGGAACUGAGUCGCAAAUAUUGGUUGGUAAUAGGUUCAGUAACCUGAUUGUACAAAUAUUGCGGGUGCCUUAAAGAAGUCCACCCCAAUAUUGAGUGUUGUUUGUAUUUUGUCUUGGUGCAACAGUAAUGGUAACAAGGGGGUUAAAUAAGUAGGUAUAAAGAUUUUGUUUGACAAUAAUUGUCUUAUCUACAGUCAGUGCAGUCGGACUGAUGUAGGAUUAUAGCAAUAUGUACUAUCACACAAAAUUAAGUAAACUGUAUCCUAACAUCUAUCACCCCAUAUAGUGUUCUGAACUUGGGAUAGACUGAAAUGUAUCAACUGGGGUUCAUAUACUGAUUGUAUAUUAAACACUGUAUAACAACAUAGUUGGAAUAAUCCAAUAUCUAAUAAGUCUGUAUUACGUCUUGUUGGGAAAUAUGAUGCUGGUAGUAACCUGAAUUACACGUCAAUCUGGCUUUAAAUAAAAAGGAAAUGAGG